GAGUUUGAUCAUGGCUCAGAUUGAACGCUGGCGGUAUGCUUAACACAUGCAAGUCGAACGGUAACAGGAGAGAGCUUGCUCUUUUGCUGACGAGUGGCGGACGGGUGAGUAAUGCGUAGGAAUCUGCCUAGUAGUGGGGGACAACGUGUGGAAACGCACGCUAAUACCGCAUACGCCCUACCGGGGAAAGGACGGGGGAGUCUUCGGUACCGUCGCGCUAUUAG
rnacentral:rRNA from 1 species